rnacentral:rRNA from 1 species
UACGUAGGGUGCGAGCGUUGUCCGGAAUUAUUGGGCGUAAAGAGCUUGUAGGCGGUUUGUCGCGUCUGCUGUGAAAAUCCGGGGCUCAACCCCGGACUUGCAGUGGGUACGGGCAGACUAGAGUGUGGUAGGGGAGACUGGAAUUCCUGGUGUAGCGGUGAAAUGCGCAGAUAUCGGGAGGAACACCUAUGGCGAAGGCAGCUCGCUGGGACGUUACUGACGCUGAGACGCGAAAGCGUGGGGAGCAAACAGG